ensembl:lncRNA
CAGGCAGCCAGCACAGCUUCACCAAGGGCAGAGCAGCCUGCCCCACCUGGUGGGCUUCUGAGACGCAUCGGUCGGAAGCGGACAAGUAGCUGAUGUUGUCCACCUGGAAUUCUGCUAAACCUUUGACGUGGUGCCCCACCACGUCCGGGAAAUUAAGGACAAAACUGGAGUUCAUCCGGAGGGCAAGCGAGGAAGACCACUGGAUGAAGAAAAAGACUGUUGGUUGGACUGUCGUGACGCUAAAAGGACGCCAAGCAGUAGAAGAGACCAUGGAAUAGAAGACUGGGAACUUCAUAAAUCACUGUCUGAGGUCGGUGUUUGUGGACGGCCGGCUGACCCAGGGAGGUCAGGUUUAUCUCCCCCUGGGUCAGUGCGAGCAAAACAGCUGCUACGGAUCACUGUCUCACACAGAACAACGACGGGAGUAGGCGGAAGGAAUGCGGAGCUGCGAUAGAGACCGCUGUGCCAGGUGCCGUGAGACAAGCUGCAAGCAACUCCAAGUUAUGAGAACCGUGCCUUGUCGUACUUAGCAUGUUAUCUGUACCGCUCUGUACAAACGGCUGCGUGCAGUUAUUAAAUGGCUCGACUACUAGGAACCGGAUGGGUGUGUGGCCUCGUCCCUCGCCGCACCUCGGCUGAUUAUUGCUCUCCAGGGGAUCUCGGACUUGUGGUUUGACAACAGGUGUUCAUGUGUUAAUUGUCUCACAGGUAAUUGAGGAAUAUGUGCUAUCUGUGGAAAUAUAACGGACUCUGAAUCGUGUCAUCUUUGAAGCACUUACGAAACCGUGUGGAGAUGAGCAAGGCUGCUGGGAACAGUAGUUCCCACCUAUCGACCCCAGGAACUGCAGCUUCCCGGCAGCAGCCCCAGUUCUGACAGCGUACUGCAUGAUGUUCUGAUAGGGAAUUCCUGCGAACAAACCAUGACAGUGGGAGAGUAACGAAACCUCUUCUGAAAGCAGCGAUGGAAACGCGCCUACCUUCGGUCAGAUUGCCACCAUUGGCCCUGGCCCAAAUAGGGGCAACACCCAGGGAAGACGUAGGGUUCUCCUGUAUGGAAUGCCUUACCCAAAUUACCCCCAGCCUGGAGGAGAGAAGCAACCAAGCAGUACUUAGCUAAGAUAAAAUGGGGAGGUGUCAGUGUGGUGAUGGUGUGCUCUGCCCUUGAAUCCAGGACAGGAAUGGCUCGGUGAUGUCCCACUCCUCCCAAGCUAUAGGUGAGGCAUCUCAGCUGAAUGAGCACAGCACCUGGGGGGUGUGGGGUGUGUGAGAGCCGUGCAGAUGGCUCCCAGCAGGGGAAGGGAUGCAGAAACGGGCUCUGCCAAGAGCCACAAGCUCGCUGGGCUCCCUCGCAGCACUGGAAGGGGGUAUUGCACAGCGCCCUGCGGUGUGGCGGAACCAACAGCUGUGCUAGGAAACCGGGACAGCUUUGCCAACAGUUUCUGUGGAGCGUGGGUGUGAGACUCCUGGCCCGUCUGGGCCGGAAUGAGCGAAGACUGUAUACGAGGAUGGACAGCAAUAUUGUCCCAUUGCUGUCCACCCUCAUGGGCAAUGGUUUUGGGGGAAGGGUUUUAAACUGAGGCAGGGGAGGUUUAGGUUGCCUCUCUUCCCCUUCCCCUUCCCCUUCUCUUUUCCCUCUCCCCUUCUCUUUUCUUUCUCCUCUCUCGCUCGCUCGCCUCUGAAUAAAUCAAGGCAAACCCUUGCGCUUGGCACACCAUGUGUCUGUUCUGCGCCUUUCCUGUGAAUAUGACAGUAGAGUGAUUGUUCUGAAGCCUCUACAAGAUUGUUACAUUUUUAUUACGGUGCAAAAGCACAACUGUAAUUCAAACUGGGGGGUGCCCCCGCAGGGCUGCCGUGGCUCCGGG